GUGCUUGCUUCAGCAGCACACACACACACUAAAAUUAGAACAAUAAAGAGAAGAUUAACACAGCCCCUGUGCAAGGAUGACACACAAAUUUGUGAAGUGUUUCAUAUUUUU